UACGGGGGGGGGCAAGCGUUUGUUCGGAAUUACUGGGCGUAAAGGGCGCGUAGGCGGUUCGUUAAGUCCUGUGUGAAAUCCCCCGGCUCAACUGGGGAACUGCACAGGAAACUAGCGGGCUUGAGUUCGGGAGAGGGAAGCGGAAUUCCGGGUGUAGCGGUGAAAUGCGUAGAUAGUCCGGAGGAACACCGGUGGCGAAGGCGGCUUCC
rnacentral:rRNA from 1 species